rnacentral:lncRNA from 1 species
ACUCUCAUACCUCCAUAAUCUCCCUCAUGAUCUUCCUACAUGAUCUCAAAUACUUAAUGUCAUGUUUAUGGUAGUCUUUUCUAUGCCUCUAUGUAAUACUAUAAAUAGAGGAUGAGAAGUGAUAUUGUAGAGACUUGAAAAACACUUCAUGAGAUAGUUCUCUCUUUCUCUCUACAUCUAUUGUCUAUUAUAUUGUUUCAUAUUGUUACUUUGAGCUUAGUUUUUUAAUAUAAUUAGGAAUUGGAGUACUUUUUUUCAAAUACAUUUCUUUUUUUAUUACCUUUUAAUCAUGGUUUAGUAGGCCUAGGGGUGUUCACAGUUCGGUUUGAUCGGUUUUUGAUUAAAAUCAAAACCAAACCAAUUUAAUCGGUUUUUAAAAUUUUAAAACCAAAACCAAACCAAAUUAAAUACAAACCAUCGGUUUGGUUGUCAUUGGUUUGGUUCGGUUUUUCGGUUCGUAGUAAGCUAAUAAUAAGUCGAUAAUAGUGAAACAACACUAGACAAUAAUCUGAAAAUAAUUUGCUAAAUUUAUACUAUUUUAUAUAUUUCUUUCGGAACUGAAAGUUUAUUUACCUCUUUAUAUGAAAAGAAUGAACAAAAAAACAACUAAAGUUUGCUUUCUCAAGCUUUAGCCACUGUAGUCCUUCAAUUUGAGUUUGCUUUCUUUACUCUUACGGUAGGAUUUUUUUAACUCUUCUGUUAGGCAAAAAUAUGUGCGGAGGGUUAGAGAAUUAAAGUCUCUUAAGGAAAAAAAAAAUUGGCCGAUUCCUAUUGUUUUGGGUUUAGGCAAUCUUUUAAGAUAUAAGUAGGAUAAACCAAAAUUCAAAAUAACAAUUAAAUUGCAUAAAAUAUUUAAAAUUAUUUAAAAAAAGAUAUUAAAUUGUAUAUAAAUAAUUAUUAAAUUUGUAUAUAAUUAAUCAGUUUGGUUCAGUUUAUUUUCGAUUUUUUAUAAUAGAACCAAAACCAAAUCAAAUAUUAUCGGUUUUUAAAAUUUAAAAUCAAAACCAAUCCAAAUCAAAAAAAAUAUCGAUUUACUUAAUCGGUUUGGUUUGGUUUUCGGUUUGGAUCGAUUUUUCAUCAAACCGUGAACAGCCCUAAGUAGGCCUAACAAUGGGAGAUCUUUAAAUUAAAUAUUUGAAAGUUCAAGUAAUGUUUGCACGUGAAUUUUACAUGAAAAAAAAGAGGAAAUUUCAUCAGUAAAACAUCGUUAUUCACUUACCGCUUAGUUUUGAGUGAACUUCGAAAAUAAUACAAAAUCAUUUAGUUGUAGGUCUUUGAGAUCCAUAAGGAUAAUUUUGUAAUUUUGUGAAAACGGGGAAAUUUAUAAACCCGGAUGCGACCUGCUUUAAAUUUCUUUUUUUAUUUAAUGAAAUUGUAGUUUUUUUUUUUUUUUUUUUUCACAGUAGUCACUGUCUCACUGAAAUUUUCUGCUUUGGGCAGCCAAAAAGAUAUUGCUGGGUAUUGUGCUCCAGACGUGUAGUUUGCUAUUGCCAAACCUCCCCUCCUCUGGCAUUAAGUACUCCUAUAACCAACACUAAAUUUAUAUAUAUAUAAUUGGGACAAUAGAAGAUAACUUGGUACCUCUCUUUGGCUAAAAAAACUUAUUUAUCUUUUUUCUCCUUUUUUUACUUUUUUUUUUGCUCAUUCUUUGCUUCUUUUUCCCUUCUAUUAAUUGUUUAUCAAUUAAUUUUAUGUGAAUAUAUUGAAGAGUUAUGACCACAUUGAAUAGUUAUAAUAGUGGAGUAAGGAAGAGUCACACCGUUUAUUCAAAAAAUUAAUAAAUAAAUACCCUUAUAUGUUCAACAUUUAUGUUUAUAAUAACUUCCAUAUAUCUUUCCUAUUCUGCUAUUCGUAACCCCCAAGAAUGUAUAAAUUUAUGACACAUUAUUGUGUUUUCUCAUAUUCAUUUCAUAACUUGAUUGAUCAGAUUGUAUGUCAUCUUCAUAAAGUUACAAUCCAACAAAUGGGUCUCGAAAACUUGGAUAGCUAGAGCAGGAUCUUGUGUUUGUAUUUUGCAAUGCAGGAACACAAGAGAAGUUAUGCAUAUACAAUAGGAUAACUAUGUAAAAAUAGUUAUGCAGGAUAAUUAUGUUAUCCUGAUACUUUUACAAAAAUGCAUUGACUAUUGCGGGCAUCAUCAAGCUAAUCUCUUUAAUUUGCUUUUCUUUUCUUUUUAUCUAGGCUAUCUGUAAGUUUUCUUUAAUUUUUAUUAUUAUUAACUAUGUAGAGAUCUUCAUAUCGAUUUUUACUUAAAUAUGAAAUUAUUAGAGUAAUUAGACAAUAUUUGCAUCACAUAAGUUUUCUUUUAUAAAUUGUCUGACAAAUUUGUUAAUUGUUUGUCUUUCUUUUUCUUUUGAAGAAUUAAGUUAUUGAGUUCUAAUAUGGAGGAAACAUCAAAUGGCAUGCUUGUGUUUUCAGUAUUACUGUUUUAGUCUUCGAGUUAUGUUAUUCUUGUACUACUUUUUGACGAACAACAAGAAAUUACUAGAGUAACUUGGAAAAUAUUUUCAUCACAAUUCUUUUAAAAAAAAGUUGUAUGAGAUAAUAAUCUAUAUGAUUGUUUGUUAAUAGCUUAUCUUUUUCUUCUUCUUUUGUAGAAUUAACUACUGAUUUCUGAUAUGGAGGAAACUUCAAAUGGACACGCCUGCAUUUUUUGCAAUGCUGCCGUUGAGUUGUAUUAUUCUUAACAUCGUCAAUAAUUGCUCUCUUUUCUCUUCAACUUUCCAAGUUUUUUAGUAAAAACAAAAAAUAUGUACUCUUAUUUAAGUCAUUGGACUAAGUUAAGUUUUUUCCUUCAUUCGUAUGGCUUCUGGUUUUUAAUUGUGAUUAGUCGAAUUGACGCACUUUCAUCUAUUUAAUUCACUAUUAUCAAAUUUGAAUAUAAACACUAGGGAUAUGAGAAUUAUUUUUAUUGCUUUGCAAUUUUAUAAUUUUAUGACUUUAUUGUUAAAGAGAAAUAAUAAACCACAAUGUGAUUUUAUUGUCUUAGUAAAAUAUAAUUUGUGAAUUUGAAAUAUUUGGGUUUUUAUAACCCCGCACGCGAGCGCGGACAGAUUUACUAAUUUUUAAUAUAAAUCUAUCUAUAUAUAAUAGGAGAGGCAAAAUAAGGAUAGUUUGACAAGUGUCAUUACUAGAAAAAUCUUAAUUUUAAAAAGCAAAACAUAUAAAUAAAAUGCUUAGUAAAAUUCAAAGAAAGGGUGACAAGUGUCAUUGCCAGAAAAAUUCUAAUUUUAAAAAUCAAAAUAAAUAAAUAAUAUACUUAGUAAAAUUAAUAAAUUAAAAACGGAUAGGAUAAAUAAUACAAUAUAUUUUUUAAUUAUUUAUCUAUAUAUAACAGGAGUAGCAAAAUAAGGAUAGGAGGAUAUAAUAUUAACAAUUUAAUAAUACUAUAUAUUGAAUAAUAUCAUAAAAAAAUACAAAGUAAAAAAGUUAUUCGAUAACUAUUUAAGUCUUCUUUUUAAUUUAAUAGAUAUUUGUUCUUAGGUAUAUUGUACUGACAAAUGAGAUGACAAUUGAAAUUUAUUAAAGAAACGCGAUCUAAUAUGUUCAAACAAUCUCGAUCACAAAUAAAUAUAAUACUUAACAAUUUUCAAGGAUAGAAUGACAACCGUAAUCACAAAUUUUUUAUUUUAAAAAAAAAUAUUUAGCUAAACAAUUAGCAAUUAAAAAAAGGAUAGGAUAAGUAAUACAAUAUUUUUUAUAAUUAUUGUAAGAAAAAAAUAGAGAACAAAAAAGUUAUUGGAUAACUAUGUAAGUCUUCUUUUUAAUUUAAUAGAUAUUUUGUUAUUGGGUAUAUUGCAUUGACAAAUAAGAUGACAAUUAGAAUUUAUUAAAACAAUACGAUCUAAUAUAUUCAAACAAUCUCGAUCACAAUUUAAUUUAAUUGUUAUUUUUUAUUAAUAUUGACCGCGCAUCAUGAAUAUGACUACUAGUAAGUAGUAACUUUAAAAAUUAGGAUAAACUUAACUUUUUAGGUAUGUAAAGUUUAUUUUCUGAAAGUUAAUAAAAAUUAUAUCAAAAUUUAUUCAAAAAAUUAAAUGUAAUGUCUUUGGUUCUCCAAAUCGUUGUCUUUUUCAGAUGACUGAGCAAAAUUAGAAAAAGGAGAAAAAGUAACAAAAGAAACACGUGUGGAUUGUGUGGUAGUGAUGAAGCAAAAUGCCAAGGUGACGUGGAAUUAGAUAUUUGUAAGCAUGCAUAUCAACUCCAAGGUUUGCCACGUAAAAUACUUACUUUUUCCGUUUGUCAAUCGUCAGUGGUUAACUUUUUAUUUUGAAACGAAUAGGAUGUUUUUAUAUUUGAAAUAUUUUAAUACUAAAAUCUUUUUUUUUGGAAAACAAUAUUAGAAUCUUUACAUGGCUUACAGUUAUAAAAUAUCAUGACAUCUUUAAAUAAGUUCUAAUCGUAAUUUUGGUAUAUAAUUAACAAGCUUUUUUUCAUAAUUUUUUGUCUAGUUAAAUUUUGCUAUUAUACUAUGAAAUGGGAAAGGCUUUUACUUCAUAAACAACAUCAAUCGCUAAGCAAUAAUGACAGCAUAAUAAAUAUUCGUGGAUAUAACAACCUUUUAAGUUCCUGAAUUUUCUGUGCCAAUAGACCAAUCAAUGAUGUUCCUUUUGAAACAAAAUCCACUCGCUACUAGUCCACAACAGGGCACUCCUAAGACUUGGCAGCUAAGUUCACUUCUAUUCCAUACCUGUCUUUUUUUUAAAAAAAAAAUUAUAACUAAAUCAAAAUGUGAAUGCAUAUUAAUUAACGGUGAUUAACAACAUACUAUGCAUUUGUAAUUUGUAGCAUUAAAGACAAGUAAACUUUUUUGUGUUCUACACUGUGAAAUGGGCAGCAAUCGUGCCAAAACCGGAAAGAAACAAAAUCACCUCAGCAUCUCCGCAUCUAUUUGAAGGCAUCUCAGCAAAAGUCACAAUCUCUCCUUUUCUCUCCUUACGUCUUGUAUUAAAACUCAGUUGCAUCGACCACGUCGAAGUUCCUUGUUAAAUUAAACUCCACCUCAAAUUCCUUCAUUCCUGGACCUUUUCUUCUCCUCCUCUUCUUUGUUCCCAUUUCUAAAAUCCUCCGUCAAUUCCUGGAUCAGGAAAUGCGUGAUCAUCCUUUUUAGGUUCUCUUGUUCUUGCUGAAGCAUUUCUUUCUUGUACGUAUGUUCUAAUUGGAACUUAUUCACCACAUACCCAUUUUCUUUUUGUUUUUAAUUUUGGACUUAGAUCUGUUGGUUUAUUCAGCUUAAUUGGCGUUUGUGUGUUGUUAUUCUUGACAGCAACAAGUUGAAUUUUGAAGAUGGGUAAGAACAAAGAGAAAAUUGAAGAGAAAUUGACUGGUUGUGAGGAUCAAAAGUUGUUUGGUUCAAAGGAAGGGAAAGGGAAGAGAUUAUGGAAGAAGGUGAACUACCAACUGGUGGAGUACCAUUCGUUGCCUGCCUAUUUAAAGGACAACGAAUAUAUUCUUGGCCAUUACCGGGCCGAAUGGCCAUUGAAGCAGGCCUUACUCAGCAUUUUCAUUAUUCACAAUGAGACCCUCAAUGUGUGGACGUAAGAUUUCCCAAUUCUUCACUUUUAAGUUUUAACAACCCUCUUAUCCCAAGGUUGGAACUUUUCAUGUUUUAUAGAAUUGAAGUUUGAUUUGGAACUUUUUUACUUUUACAUUAAUUGACUUGUAUAGUAUCCAGAACUACUGAUCUUUUAUCUUUAUGCAUAUAUCCCUUAUGUUUGGUACUAAAGAUUUGAAAAGACCAUAUGCUAUGAAUUGAAUUUCGGCGCAACGUUUUUCAACUUCAUUGUUGAGGGCAGUAAGUAUUGGAUCACCAGUUCUUGAUCAGUUUGUUUUUAGUAUUUAAUCUCUUUAGAUUAGAUUGCAUUUAUCUUCUAGAAUAAGAUGAUAUAAUAGUUAGGCAUUUAGAGUUAUCCCUUUGAUUUAGAUAGGAUCCAUCAGUUAUUAGGUUUACAUAGAACUCUACAAAGAUGGUUACUUAAACUUGUAUUUAAACUCAUUGAGGUAUUCAAUAACAGAUACAGUAUUUUCCAUCAUCUACUCAAGUCUUUAUAUGGUAUCAGAACCUAUACUACUCUAACGAGCUAGAUCCUUUUUUUUUUCCAAACACCAAAUCCUCCAAUGACGAAAGAUGGAAACACAACCAGAGUUGUCAAUGCCGACAACACUGUUGGUACCAUCAUCAUAGUUCAGUUCAACCCCGCUUCCCAACUACCUAUCAAACUUAGUGGCAGUCACAAUUUUGCUACUUGGAAAGCUCAGUUCUCCAUGAUUAUGUAUGGUCAUGACCUCUAUGGUCAUCUUGAUGGAUCCACCCCAGCCCCCAUUCCGAGCACCACUUUUGGAACCAACACAACCCCUAAUCCUGCUUACACACUUUGGUUCCGUCAGGAUCAACUUAUUCAAAAUGCCCUUAUGGCUUCCGUUGACCCUACCAUAGCCUCCGCAGUUGCCGCUGCUAACACAUCAAAACAGGCUUGGGACUCUUUGCACACUGCCUACGCAAACAAAUCCCAGACCCGAAUCUUCAGUCUUCGUGAUCAACUUGGCCGAAUCACAAAAGACACCACUCCUAUCACCGAGAACCUUCAACGUAUUCUGUACCUUUCAGAUGAACUUGCUACUGCCGGUGCCCCUGUCACUAAUUCCGAACUCAUAGUCAAAAUCCUUAGUGGACUUGGACCUGAGUUUCUUGAUAUCUCGGCUGCCAUACGGGCACGUGAUACUACAGUUACUUAUGAAGAACUAUAUGAAAAGAUGCUUGACCAUGAGCUCUUUCUUCGGCAUGACCAUACGGGCACGUGAUACUACAGUUACUUAUGUAGUAUUGGUGGCGGCUAUUGCGAACCCCGCUGGUGUACGGCCGGAAGAAACAUGGACUGUAUGAGUGGCCCAAUUCGCAUCCACAAGCUCACAUAUCUACCACUACAACCUCUCUGACCACUUGGCAUCAAAGAUUGGGUCAUCCGCACUCUAGAGUCCUUAAUUAUGUCUUGAAUAAAUUCUCUCUACCAUUUGUUGAACGAGAUAAGUUUCAUUAUUGUAAUUCCUGUUUGUCUAAUAAAUCCCAUCGGCUUCCGUUCCACACAUUAACUUUGGAAAGCUCUAAACCGCUUGAAAUUAUUUUUAGUGAUUUGUGGGGGCCCUCUCCUGUUUUGUCCCAUGAUAAAAAUUAUAUUAUUGCAUCUUUGUCGAUCAGUACACAAGAUACAUGUGGCUUUAUACACUAAAAAAUAAAAGCGAAGUCAAGGAGUUGUUCCAAAAAUUCCACCCUUUAACAGAAAAAUAUUUCGAUACCAAAAUUCAAUCGCUUUAUACUGAUGGUGGAGGAGAGUAUAAAAGUCUUGACUCUUAUGAGCCCUUCAUGGUAUCGAACAUCUUUCCACCCCACCCUAUACGCCUCAACGAGUUGCUCUUGCUGAGCGUAGACAUCGUCAUGUUAUUGAAACUGCAAGAACAAUUUUACAUGAGGCGUCUCUUCCACCGAUUUUUUGGUCCUUCGCAUGUCACCAUGUUGUGUAUUUAAUUAAUCAUCUACCCACAUCACUCUUGAAUAACUCUUCCCAGUUUGAAAAAUUAUUUGGCAAGUCACCUGACUAUGCCUCUCUAAGGACUUUUGGAUGCUUAUGUUAUCCCUGGCUUAAACCGUACUCUAAAAACAAACUUGAACCUAAGUCUAAAUCAUGUGUAUAUUUCGGGUUCUCUUUGUCCCAUCAUUGUCACCAGUGCUUUGAUCCUAUUUCUUCUAAAAUUUAUUUAUCAAGAGAUGUGCAAUUUCUUGAAAAUAAUUUUCCUUUCAAAAGUUUAUUCUCUAAUACUACUAUUAGACCCACUAAGUUAGAUUGGACAAAUACAACUACUUUUGAUUUACCCAGAUCCACCCCCAACCUUUCCCCUCUUUCUGAUUUGCUCCCCCCCCCUCAAAACACCCUCCCCCCACGUAACCUCUGAGUCCCAGCCCCAAACGAUACCUCCUCCCCUCUCUCCACUAAACACGGCUCAAUCCAUCAUAUCCGGCGCAACACCAGCGGAAGAUGCGGAUUCCCCUCCUUCACAGAGCUCUACUCCAGGUAUGUGUACUACUCCUCCUCCAACUCCAAUUCCCCAAGAUCCCUGCUGCCCACACCCAUCCCCUAAGCCUUCUGUGAGACCCCAAGCCUCCAAUCCCCCUAUAAAAUCACCCACUCCAUUCUGAUAGUCUACAAUCGUCGUUCUCCACACCCCAAAUCCACCACUUCAAUGGCACCUCCCCCUGCUCCACCACACGUACUCACCCCUCCAACUCGUAUAGUCACCCGCUCACAGAACAACAUCCAGAAACCAAACAGAUUUUUGAUUACCUAGCCUACUCAGAACCAUCCCUUGUACCACACACCUUCAAACAAGCCCAAAAGCACCCUGAGUGGAGGAAAGCCAUGAAUUCAGAAUUUGAUGCUUUACUGAAAAACCAUACUUGGGAACUAGUUCCAUAUGACCCCUCUAAGAAUGUUGUUUCAUGUAAGUGGCUUUUCAGGAUUAAAAGGAAAGCAGACGGGUCAGUUGAUCGUUACAAGGCGAGACUAGUUGCAAAAGGAUUCACUCAGAGGUCGGGCAUUGACUUUCAGUCCGGUUGUUAAAUCCACUACUGUGCGAAUCAUACUUGCUGUUGCCCUUUGGUUUCAUUGGCCCCUUCGUCAACUCAACGUCAACAAUGCUUUUCUUCAAGGUGACCUUGAAGAAGAAGUGUACAUGACGCAACCUCCGGGCUUUACUUGUGUUGAUAAUCCAACUCAUAUUUGUAAGUUGCGCAAGGUAAUCUAUGGCCUGAAGCAAGCUCCUUGGGCUUGGUAUAAUGCGCUCAAAGGCCAUCUUGCCCACAUGGGAUUUUCUAAGGCAGAAUCUGACAACUCAUUAUUCAUCAGAAAUAGUAAUGCUAGUUUCAUGUUUAUUUUGGUAUAUGUUGACGACAUAAUAGUAACUGGCAGCAACUCAAUCACCGUCAAUGAAGUUAUAGCCUCUCUUGCCUCUCGCUUCUCCAUUAAAGAUUUGGGAAAUCUCAAUUAUUUUCUUGGUGUUGAGGUGGUUCGAAAUGCUGAUGACAUUAUUCUCUCGCAAGCCACUUAUAUCAAUGAAAUUCUGAAUGAUGAGUUGAUGGCUGAUUGUAAGAGCGCAAACACAUCGAUGAGUGCUUCUGAGUUGCUCAAACUCAAUGAUGGGGCUCCGUUAACUGAUGCUACUCGCUACCGUCGAGUCUUGGGCAGACUUCAAUAUCUUUCGUUUACAAGGCCAGACAUUUCCUAUGCAGUCAACAAAUUAUCCCAAUUUAUGCAAUCACCAUCCGAUCUUCAUUAGAAAGCUGUGAAGCGAGUUCUUAGGUACCUUCGUGGUACGAUCAAGUUUGGCCUACGUGUGUCGCCGAAUUUUGAUUUCAAUUUGCGUAUGUACUCUGAUGCGGACUGGGCUGGAGAUCUCAUUGAUAGAUCCUCCACAUCCGGUUAUAUUCUGUUUCUUGAUAGCAAUCCUAUCAGUUGGUCCUCUAAAAAGCAAAAGACUAUAACUCGCUCAUCAACUGAAGCUGAAUAUAGAGCUGUUGCCAAUGCACUCGCCGAACUACUGUGGGUCAGAAACCUACUGCUUGAGAUGCGACUCCCUGUCAGAGAUACCCCUACUAUCUGCUGUGACAACAUUGGUGUCACUUAUCUAAGCGAGAAUCCGGGCCUUCAUAGUCGCAUGAAACAUAUUGAGGUGGACUUUCAUUUUGUGCGCAACAAUGUUGAACAGAAGGUGGUUCGAGUUGUUCAUGUUCAUUCUGCUGACCAACUAGCUGAUAUGCUCAUGAAAGCACUGGCCAAACCAGCUUUUGAACGCAAUUUGUUCAAGUUAGGCUUAGUGACACAUAGCCUAACUUGAGGGGGGCAUAUUGGAUCACCAGUUCUUGAUCAGUUUGUUUUUAGUAUUUAUCUCUUUAGAUUAGAUUGCAUUUAUCUUCUAGAAUAAGAUGAUAUUAUAGUUAGGCAUUUAGAGUUAUCCCUUUGAUUUAGAUAGGAUUCAUCAGUUAUUAGGUUUACAUAGAACUCUACAAAGAUGGUUACUGUAACUUGUAUUUAAACUCAUUGAGGUAUUCAAUAACACAUACAGUAUUUUUCAUCAUCUACUCAAGUCUUUAUAGUAAGCCACACUGUAAUCUAAGGUGCUUUGAACUUGGCUGAAAAGAGGUCAAUCAGUCAUUUAGCUGCUGUCCUAAGAUGAGGAGGAUCUUUUCAGACUGAGAAGUAGCCUCUAUUUUUCUUUUUUUGAAGGGGUUAUUGGAUCGAUUGUUAUACUUAGUAAUUUGGUGCUAAAAACAUAAAAGUUUUUCAUGAGUGCUACUGCUGUCUAACCAAGGAUAAGAAUGCUACUUAGUCAUUUACUUUCUGGUUCAGAAGUUUGGGCUUAGAAGAGAUCUAUAGAGGGUUUAAUAAGUUGCAGUAAUAGUUAGCAACAAUUCUGAAACUGAUAUAUGGGAUUGUUACCAAAGUCCAGAAUAGACUCUUGUAUUAGUGAAAUUUGUGAGAGAUCCCCUAACUCAUAUUUGAAGAGUAACAUAUGUAUUCUAUGUUUGUGCCUUAUAUGGAGUUUAGGUACAAGGCGGACAGCUUAAUUUACCUUUUGAAUUUCCUUACUAAACCUCUACUGAAGCGGAAACUGCUGUCAUAGCAUGUGCCUUCAGUUCUAGUUCAUGUUAUUGCUGGUUCCUUUAUGCUAUUGGGUCAUUGGUUUGUUAAAUGUUCUCUCUAUACUAUCUUAAAUCCCAACAUACUAAAAUUAAGAAAUAAUAGAUUACUGACCAGAAUCUUGAUUUUCCUACUUGUUAUAGGCAUUUGAUAGGGUUCUUCCUCUUCCUUGCGCUGACCAUUUAUACUGCAAUCCAAGUACCCAAGGUUGUAGAUCUACAUUCCUUACAGAAUCUCCCUGAUGUGCUGAGGAAGGCUGAUCUACACAAAUUACAAUCAGAGGUUUUGACUUGUCUUCCUUCUUUGCCGCAUAUGCCUGAUUUGCACAGACUUCGAGAUGGUUUGCUACUAUCCCCCUCUAGUUGGCAUAUUCUUGAUCUCCUGACUAACUGUCUACCUGAGCGUUUUUCCCUCAGCAACCAUACGGAUGUCUGCGUACUGGUAAGAAUGCCUCAUCAUUCAACUACUAGUUAGUGUCUGCUUAAGCUGCACAUGUAUGAAAGAACCAUUGCUUCUAAUGACUUCUCAUUUUAGAUUAAAUAACCAUAAUUAUCCAGCUGUCUAUAUUGUACUGCUUGUUUACAUUGAUUUCAUCUUACUGAUGCUAACUGGUGCUGUCGUAGCUGUUAUCAAUGCCAUUAAAGAUGAAUUUGUUUGGCCAGGAAUUCUCAAAUCCAUAGUGGCGUUUAUAUCUUCUUUAGGCUGUAGUGCAGCCAAUUUUUAUUUUGUUUAUUCCAUCUGUCUUGCUUGCUUGGCUAAAGAGAGUAUUCUAUAGUCAUUCAGAGAGAGUGGCUAAACACUUAUUAGUACACAAAAUUUGUCAUUUCGAAUUAAGUUUGGUCAUAGGUUGAUUGAUUUCUGCUGGAGCAUUAAUUCAUUCCUAUGCACAUUGCUAAAGAACUUCUUCUCCGGCUUUUUUCCUCCUAUAUCAGAACUUUCUGAAUUAUUUGGUUGGAUAUUCCCACGUGAUGUUAUUCUUCUGACAGCCUUUUUGCCUUUGGUUUUCUUUCAACACCAUUGCUACCUCAACCUUAAGAUUUCCAAUCUCUGCAUAAAGACAUUUUCCAGUGAGUGCUGAUGGGCCUCUAUUGCUCAAUAAUUAAACAGUUGACACCAAUAGGGAGUCGUAUCUUUAAAUUUCUGGAUCUCGUGAUUGGUACUAGGACGUGGACCUGUUCUAAAAAAAUUAAAGAACAUGGAGCUGUUAGAAGGUCGGUAUAGAUUUCUUCCUAAUGAAAAUACAACUUGUAUAUGUUACCCCUGGAAAAUUUAAUCUACCUAGUUCUCCUUGUUCUGGUGCUUAAUAAAUUCCCUUUACUCUUUCUGCGCCGUGCUUAUGAUAUUUUUAAAUCUUUUCUUUCUUUUGUUGGAUGGCUGCUCUGCUGCCUCAUGCAUUGCAUGGUAUGUAUGAAAAUGUAUACAAUUGCUUAUUUUGAACCAUUUGAAUAAUCUCCCUAUUUAUCUGAUUAUUCUGUUAUCUUUCUUAUCUUAGUAAAGCUUCAUAUUUAGUCUUUGUUCUUAUUCAGCCUUCUUAGAGACUAAGAAAUCUCAUAAUCUAAACAAAUUCCCUUGAAAAUCCCUUCAUGUUUGUUUUGUAGUUGGGGUGUCCAAGUGCAAAGAUAAAAGGUCACUUGGGUUGCAAUAUCCCACUAGAUUCCCUAAUAUGGAAUCUCCUUACAUAAUGUACUUCCCUUGCAUUAUCUUUUGUUGUAGGAUUCAUGUUGAGUAUUUCUUCUGCUGGAUUGCAUAAAUCAUACACUUUCCUGAGGCUUGCCUUUCUUACUCUACCUCCACUCUUUACAGGGAGGUACAUCAAUUCAUCCUAAAUGAAAACAUAGUUAAGUAGUAAUACUUAUUAUACCUCAUAUGCAUCUCCACUAUACCAUUGCAUCUCUCCACUAUACCAUUCCAAAUGUUGUUCCCUUCAGUUGCUUGGAUUCCUCCCAUUUUCUGAUAAGAUUGACCAAGUAACUUCAGAAGUGCUUGCAUAUGGAAAAUUAAGUAAAGAAUGGUAGUUUGAUAAAUCAGAAAACAGGAGUUAACAAACUACUUCUGGUUCAUUAUGUCCUUUCAAGUGAUACUACCUAUUAAACUUCUAUACAAAAGAGCUAAUAUAGUUAUGAUUGCUUCUAAUCCAAGGCUGAAGUAGCCUUAUUAUGAAAUAAUCGCAUAAUUACUUGGAUACCAGGAAUGGUAUAUGCACUCAAUGGUCUAGUCUUCUAGUUGUGAUAUUGAUCUUUCACUAUUGUUCAAUUUUUGCAGCAGAGUGUAAAGGAAGAUGUGGCAAAUAUAAUAGCACCAUUGCUGGUGAGACCAAUAACACGCUGGCCAUUCUAUGCCUUCCUUGGUGGGGCCAUGUUUUGCUUGUUAGCAAGCAGCACAUGUCAUUUACUUUCUUGCCAUUCAGAGCAUUUAUCAUACAUCAUGCUGAGUCUCGACUAUGCUGGUAUCGCUGCCCUGAUAUCAACUUCAUUUUACCCUCCCGUCUAUUAUUCCUUCAUGUGUUACCCCUUCUUUUGCAACCUGUACCUGGGAUUUAUUACCCUCCUGGGAAUUGCCACCAUCUUGGGUUCCCUCCUUCCUGUGUUCCAGACCCCAGAAUAUCGAACCAUUCGAGCAUCUCUAUUUUUUGGAAUGGGCUUUUCAGGCGCUGUACCAAUUCUGCACAAGCUGGUUUUAUUUUGGCACCAACCCGAGGCGCUUCACACAACUGGAUAUGAACUUUUGAUGGGCAUAUUUUAUGGCAUUGGAGCACUGGUAUAUGCCAUGAGAGUUCCAGAAAGAUGGAUGCCCGGGAAGUUUGAUAUCGCUGGCCACAGCCACCAACUAUUUCAUGUACUUGUUGUGGCAGGGGCUUAUACUCAUUACCAUGCAGGGUUGGUUUAUCUCCGGUGGCGGGACCUGCAAGGAUGCUAAGAGCUAUUCAAGAAUGGAAAAUUCAGUGAGAAUCCUUUGUGAUGCAUUAGGCUAGUUCAAAUGUACGUAAAUGUAGAGAAGAUGUGUUGACCCUUUGUUGUUUAAAUGUAGAGAAGAUGUGUUGACCCUUUGUUGUUUGCCCAUCUUCAGUAAUAAAUGUUCUCAUUUAGCAGCGAUUGUCAGUCAAUUGUCCUGUAGUAUAUUAUCAGGCACAAUAUGUAUUUUCGUAUUAUCUUUGGUGAGAUCUGUAUCUAAGAUUUUAGAGUUUCAACCGCACUGAAAGUUAAUAUGAUAUAGUCCAGCCUAAAGUAUAUUAGACAAUGAAAUGAUUUCGUG